rnacentral:rRNA from 1 species
UACAGAGGGGGCAAGCGUUGUUCGGAAUUAUUGGGCGUAAAGCGUGCGUAGGCGGCUGCGCAAGUCGGUUGUGAAACCCCGGGGCUCAACCCCGGAACUGCAUCCGAUACUGCGUGGCUAGAGGUAGGUAGGGGAGAUCGGAAUUCCUGGUGUAGCGGUGAAAUGCGCAGAUAUCAGGAGGAACACCGGUGGCGAAGGCGGAUCUCUGGGCCUUACCUGACGCUCAGGCACGAAAGCUAGGGGAGCGAACAGG